AAACCAGCACCUCAAGUGGUCAGGAUGAUUAUUGGGCCUAAAGCAUCCGUAGCCUGUCCUGUAAGUUUUCGGUUAAAUCUGUAUGCUCAACAUACAGGCUGCCGGGAAUACUGCAGGACUAGGGAGUGGGAGAGGUAGACGGUACUCGGGAGGAAGUGGUAAAAUGCUUUGAUCUCUCGAUGACCACCUGUGGCGAAGGCGGUCUACCAGAACACGUCCGACGGUGAGGGAUGAAAGCUGGGGGAGCAAACCGGAUUAGAAACCCGAGUAGUCC
rnacentral:rRNA from 1 species